GACGAACGCUGGCGGCGUGCCUAAUACAUGCAAGUCGAGCGGACUUGAAGAGGAGCUUGCUCCUCUGAUGGUUAGCGGCGGACGGGUGAGUAACACGUAGGCAACCUGCCUGCAAGCCUGGGAUACCUGCGGGAAACCGCAGCUAAUACCGGAUACGCAGUUGAGAUCCAUGUCUCGAUUUGGAAAGGCGGAGCAAUCUGUCGCUUGUAGAUUGGCCUGCGGCGCAUUAGCGAGUUGGUGAGGUAACGGCUCACCAAGGCGAAGAUGCGUAGCCGACCUGAGAGGGUGAUCGGCCACACUGGGACUGAGACACGGCCCAGACUCCUACGGGAGGCAGCAGUAGGGAAUCUUCCGCAAUGGACGCAAGUCUGACGGAGCAACGCCGCGUGAGUGAGGAAGGCCUUCGGGUCGUAAAGCUCUGUUGCCAGGGAAGAAUGUCGAGGAGAGUAACUGCUCUUCGAAUGACGGUACCUGAGAAGAAAGCCCCGGCUAACUACGUGCCAGCCGCCGCGGUAAUAC
rnacentral:rRNA from 1 species